GACGAACGCUGGCGGCGUGCUUAACACAUGCAAGUCGAGCGGUAAGGCCCUUUCGGGGGUACGACGAGCGGCGAACGGGUGAGUAACACGUGGGUGACCUGCCCUCAGCUCUGGGAUAAGCCUGGGAAACCGGGUCUAAUACUGGAUAUGACUCCAUGACGCAUGUUGUGGGGUGGAAAGCCUUGUGCGGCUGAGGAUGGGCCCGCGGCCUAUCAGCUUGUUGGUGGGGNGAUGGCCUACCAAGGCGACGACGGGUAGCCGG
rnacentral:rRNA from 1 species